rnacentral:rRNA from 1 species
GAUGAACGCUGGCGGCGUGCCUAAUACAUGCAAGUCGAGCGGACGGACGAGACGCUUGUUUCUCUCAUGUUAGCGGAGGACGGGUGAGUCACACGUGGAUCCCCUCCUUAUAUGUCUGGGAUCACCUCGGGAAUCCGGCUAUUAUCCCAGAUGAUAUUCUGAACCGCAUGGUUCAAAAGUGAAAUACGGUCUUGCUGUAUCUUAUCGAUGCAUCUGCGCUGCAUUAGCUAGUUGGUACGGUCAAGGCUUAUCAAGGCUACGAUGCAUAGCCGACCUGAGAGGGUGAUCGGCCACACUGGAACGGAGACACGGUCCAUACGCCUACGGGAGGCAGCAGUAGGGAAUCUUCCGCAAUGGUCGAAAGCCUUACGGAGCAACGCCGCGUGAGUGAUGAAGGUCUUCGGAUCGGAAAACUCUGUUAUGAGGUAAGAACAGAUGUGGAAGGAGCUGUGGAGAGCUUGACGGUACCGAAUCAAAAAGCAACGGCUAACUACGUG